GCUGAUAUUAACUUCUGCUUCUUAUUAGUUCGAACAGGCAACUGAAUAAAGCAAAGAUAAUAGAAAAAAUUUAAAAAAAAAAAAGAGAGAAUUGGAAUUUUUUUAAAUUUAUUUCUUGAUUAAUUUUGAUAUAGAGUAAGGAUUAGGCGAUAUAGAAAGAGAUCGAAUAAUAGUUUUGUGAUCGAUUUGUGUAGCCGUUUUGGCUGGAGAGUCUUUGC
rnacentral:misc_RNA from 1 species